GGCAACGGUGAAACUCAAAGGAAUUGACGGGGGCCCGCACAAGCGGAGGAACAUGUGGUUUAAUUCGAUGAUACGCGAGGAACCUUACCCGGGCUUGAAUUGCAUCUGAAUAACUUCAAAAGGAGUUAGCCGCAAGGCAGAUGUGAAGGUGCUGCAUGGUUGUCGUCAGCUCGUGCCGUGAGGUGUCGGCUUAAGUGCCAUAACGAGCGCAACCCUAAUUUCCAGUUACUAUCAGGUUAUGCUGAGGACUCUGGAGAGACUGCCGUCGUAAGAUGUGAGGAAGGUUGGGAUGACGUCAAAUCAGCACGGCCCUUACGUCCGGGGCUACACACGUGUUACAAUGGGUGGUACAGAAGGCAGCUACACGGCGACGUGAUGCUAAUCCCAAAAACCACUCUCAGUUCGGAUUGGAGUCUGCAACUCGACUCCAUGAAGCUGGAUUCGCUAGUAAUCGCGCAUCAGCCAUGGCGCGGUGAAUACGUUCCCGGGCCUUGUACACACCGCCCGUCAAGCCAUGAAAGCCGCGGGUACCUGAAGUACGUAACCGUAAGGAUCGUCCUAGGGUAAAUGUGGUAAUUGGGGCUAAGUCGUAACAAGGUA
rnacentral:rRNA from 1 species